GAUGAACGCUGGCGGCGUGCCUAAUACAUGCAAGUCGAGCGAACAGAUGAGGAGCUUGCUCCUCUGACGUUAGCGGCGGACGGGUGAGUAACACGUGGAUAACCUACCUAUAAGACUGGGAUAACUUCGGGAAACCGGAGCUAAUACCGGAUAAUAUAUUGAACCGCAUGGUUCAAUAGUGAAAGACGGUUUUGCUGUCACUUAUAGAUGGAUCCGCGCCGCAUUAGCUAGUUGGUAAGGUAACGGCUUACCAAGGCAACGAUGCGUAGCCGACCUGAGAGGGUGAUCGGCCACACUGGAACUGAGACACGGUCCAGACUCCUACGGGAGGCAGCAGUAGGGAAUCUUCCGCAAUGGGCGAAAGCCUGACGGAGCAACGCCGCGUGAGUGAUGAAGGUCUUCGGAUCGUAAAACUCUGUUAUUAGGGAAGAACAAAUGUGUAAGUAACUAUGCACGUCUUGACGGUACCUAAUGAGAAAGCCACGGCUAACUACGUG
rnacentral:rRNA from 1 species